GUGGGGAAUCUUGCGCAAUGGGCGAAAGCCUGACGCAGCCAUGCCGCGUGAAUGAUGAAGGUCUUAGGAUUGUAAAAUUCUUUCACCGGGGACGAUAAUGACGGUACCCGGAGAAGAAGCCCCGGCUAACUUCGUGCCAGCAGCCGCGGUAAUACGAAGGGGGCUAGCGUUGCUCGGAAUUACUGGGCGUAAAGGGCGCGUAGGCGGACAGUUUAGUCAGAGGUGAAAGCCCAGGGCUCAACCUUGGAAUUGCCUUUGAUACUGGCUGUCUUGAGUACGGGAGAGGUGAGUGGAACUCCGAGUGUAGAGGUGAAAGUCGUAGAUAUUCGGAAGAACACCAGUGGCGAAGGCGACUCACUGGCCCGUUACUGACGCUGAGGCGCGAAAGCGUGGGGAGCAAACAGGAUUAGAAACCCUAGUAGUCC
rnacentral:rRNA from 1 species